CCUACGGGCGGCAGCAGUGAGGAAUAUUGGUCAAUGGACGAGAGUCUGAACCAGCCAAGUAGCGUGAAGGAUGACUGCCCUAUGGGUUGUAAACUUCUUUUAUAUGGGAAUAAAAUGUUCCACGUGUGGGAUUUUGUAUGUACCAUAUGAAUAAGGAUCGGCUAACUCCGUGCCAGCAGCCGCGGUAAUACGGAGGAUCCGAGCGUUAUCCGGAUUUAUUGGGUUUAAAGGGAGCGUAGGUGGAUUGUUAAGUCAGUUGUGAAAGUUUGCGGCUCAACCGUAAAAUUGCAGUUGAAACUGGCAGGCUUGAGUACAGGAGAGGUGGGCGGAAUUCGUGGUGUAGCGGUGAAAUGCUUAGAUAUCACGAAGAACUCCGAUGGCGAAGGCAGCUCACUGGACUGCAACUGACACUGAGGCUCGAAAGUGUGGGUAUCAAACAGGAUUAGAUACCCGGGUAGUC
rnacentral:rRNA from 1 species